CUCUUCACUUGAAAUUCGGUGGAGUAUAUGGGGAGAACCAUUGGAGUUUUUCUUGUGUUCUUUCUCCCCAUAUGCUCCACCGAAUUUCAAGUGAAGAG